GUGCUCACUUUGACAGCACAUAUACUAAAAUUGGAAUGACAGAGAUUAGUAUGGCCUCUGCGCAAGGAUGACACACAAGUUCGUGAAGUGUUCCAUUUUUUU
ensembl:snRNA U6 U6 spliceosomal RNA